GACGAACGCUGGCGGCGUGCCUAAUACAUGCAAGUAGGACGCAGUUGCGAACGGGUGAGUAACGCGUAGGUAACUACCUAUUAGAGGGGGAUAACUAUUGGAAACGAUAGCUAAUACCGCAUACUAGUAGAUGGACCUGCGUUGUAUUAGUUAGGAGGUAGGGUAAUGGCCUACCUAGCCAACGAUACAUAGCCGAACUGGGGGGGUGAGCGGCCAAAACGGGACUGGGACACGGGCCAGACUCCUACGGGAGGGAACAGUAGGGGAUCUUCGGCAAUGGGGCGAACCCUGACCGAGCAACGCCGGGGGAGGGAAAGAAGUUUUCGGAUCGUAAAGCUCUGUUGUUAAGGAAGCGGUACUUAACCAGAAAGGGACGGCUAACUACGUGCCAGCAGCCGCGGUAAUUC
rnacentral:rRNA from 1 species